AAUCCAUAGGUUAAUGAGGCGAACCGGGGGAACUGAAACAUCUAAGUACCCCGAGGAAAAGAAAUCAACCGAGAUUCCCCCAGUAGCGGCGAGCGAACGGGGAGGAGCCCAGAGCCUGAAUCAGCAUGUGUGUUAGUGGAAGCGUCUGGAAAGGCGCGCGAUACAGGGUGACAGCCCCGUACACAAAAGCGCAUGUGCUGUGAGCUCGAUGAGUAGGGCGGGACACGUGGUAUCCUGUCUGAAUAUGGGGGGACCAUCCUCCAAGGCUAAAUACUCCUGACUGACCGAUAGUGAACCAGUACCGUGAGGGAAAGGCGAAAAGAACCCCGGCGAGGGGAGUGAAAAAGAACCUGAAACCGUGUACGUACAAGCAGUGGGAGCCCCACCACCAAAGCAUUCUCUGGUGUUGAAGGCCCUGCAAAGCAGCAUCGCGGUGGCGGAGCGUCGUUUGCGACGCCCAACACACAAAACAAGCGGUGAGUGCUUUGGGGUGGGGUGACUGCGUACCUUUUGUAUAAUGGGUCAGCGACUUAUAUUCUGUAGCAAGGUUAACCGUAUAGGGGAGCCGUAGGGAAACCGAGUCUUAACCGGGCGUUAAGUUGCAGGGUAUAGACCCGAAACCCGGUGAUCUAGCCAUGGGCAGGUUGAAGGUUGGGUAACACUAACUGGAGGACCGAACCGACUAAUGUUGAAAAAUUAGCGGAUGACCUGUGGCUGGGGGUGAAAGGCCAAUCAAACCGGGAGAUAGCUGGUUCUCCCCGAAAGCUAUUUAGGUAGCGCCUCGUGAAUUCAUCUCCGGGGGUAGAGCACUGUUUCGGCUAGGGGGCCAUCCCGGCUUACCAACCCGAUGCAAACUGCGAAUACCGGAGAAUGUUAUCACGGGAGACACACGGCGGGUGCUAACGUCCGUCGUGAAGAGGGAAACAACCCAGACCGCCAGCUAAGGUCCCAAAGUCAUGGUUAAGUGGGAAACGAUGUGGGAAGGCCCAGACAGCCAGGAUGUUGGCUUAGAAGCAGCCAUCAUUUAAAGAAAGCGUAAUAGCUCACUGGUCGAGUCGGCCUGCGCGGAAGAUGUAACGGGGCUAAACCAUGCACCGAAGCUGCGGCAGCGAACGUAUCACUUAAAGCGAUUCAGCGGGUUACGAUUGACGGAGCGAAGCGACGUCAAAGCGUAUACAAAGUCGAGUCGGUUUAAGGAUACGUUCGUUGGGUAGGGGAGCGUUCUGUAAGCCUGUGAAGGUGGCCUGUGAGGGUUGCUGGAGGUAUCAGAAGUGCGAAUGCUGACAUAAGUAACGAUAAAGCGGGUGAAAAGCCCGCUCGCCGGAAGACCAAGGGUUCCUGUCCAACGUUAAUCGGGGCAGGGUGAGUCGACCCCUAAGGCGAGGCCGAAAGGCGUAGUCGAUGGGAAACGGGUUAAUAUUCCCGU
rnacentral:rRNA from 1 species